GGGGGCGAUCGGUUUCGACGUGGGGACUGAAGAUCAAUCUGCGUGCACUGGCUCCCGGCCCAGUCAAAACCCGGGACGUAUUAGUUGCGAACGACAACGCAAUCGAAGCUCUCGCGGCCUAAUAACCCGUGAUAGCCGUCCAACCGCAAGAUCGUCCUGGUAGCGGAAGGGCGCCAACCACUAGGGCUGGGUUGCCUGAGGGUGCUUUCGAUAGGGCGACCGAGAAAAAGGCGAAGGCUAGGGCGUGGCCGAAUCCACGAAGCCCCGUCACAGGGUCAAUUGUGACUACGCACGUGAACGAAGGUUGAUUGGACGCCUUGCGGACCCGGGUUCGAUUCCCGGCGCCUCCACUU
rnacentral:tmRNA from 2 species